UAGGGAAUCUUCCACAAUGGACGAAAGCCUGAUGGAGCAACGCCGCGUGUGUGAUGAAGGGUUUCGGCUCGUAAAACACUGUUGUAAGAGAAGAAUGACAUUGAGAGUAACUGUUCAAUGUGUGACGGUAUCUUACCAGAAAGGAACGGCUAAAUACGUGCCAG
rnacentral:rRNA from 1 species